rnacentral:piRNA from 1 species
UAUCAUGAUGCAUGGUGGACAUAACAAC